rnacentral:rRNA from 1 species
GAUGAACGCUAGCUACAGGCUUAACACAUGCAAGUCGAGGGGCAGCAUGAACAUAGCUUGCUAUGUUUGAUGGCGACCGGCGCACGGGUGCGUAACACGUAUCCAAUCUGCCCGUCACUCGGGGAUAGCCUUCUGAAAGGAAGAUUAAUACAUGAUGGUGUUGAAAUUCCGCAUGUCAUUUCAACUAAAGAUUUAUCGGUAACGGAUGAGGAUGCGUACGAUUAGCUGGUUGGCGGGGUAACGGCCCACCAAGGCGACGAUCGUUAGGGGUUCUGAGAGGAAGGUCCCCCACACUGGAACUGAGACACGGUCCAGACUCCUACGGGAGCAGCAGUGAGGAAUAUUGGUCAAUGGUCGAGAGACUGAACCAGCCAAGUAGCGUGAAGGAUGACUGCCCUACGGGUUGUAAACUUCUUUGUUUGGGAAUAAAUGAUACUACGUGUAGUAUUUUGCAUGUACCUUACGAAUAAGCAUCGGCUAAUUCCGUGCCAG